UACGUAGGGGGCAAGCGUUGUCCGGAAUUAUUGGGCGUAAAGAGCGUGUAGGCGGUCCGGUAAGUCCGCUGUGAAAGUCGGGGGCUCAACCCUCGAAUGCCGGUGGAUACUGUCGGGCUAGAGUGCGGAAGAGGCGAGUGGAAUUCCUGGUGUAGCGGUGAAAUGCGUAGAUAUCUGGAGGAACACCGGUGGCGAAGGCGGCAUCCUGGACCGACACUGACGCUGAUGAGCGAAAGCCAGGGGAGCAAACGGG
rnacentral:rRNA from 1 species